ACGCUGACAGAAUGCUUAACACAUGCAAGUCAACUUGAAUUUGGGUUUUUAACUUAGAUUUGGGUGGCGGACGGGUGAGUAACGCGUAAAGAACUUGCCUCACAGCUAGGGACAACAUUUAGAAAUGAAUGCUAAUACCUAAUAUUAUGAUAAUAGGGCAUCCUAUAACUAUGAAAGCUAUAAGCGCUGUGAGAGAGCUUUGCGUCCCAUUAGCUAGUUGGAGAGGUAACGGCUCACCAAGGCGAUGAUGGGUAGCCGGCCUGAGAGGGUGAUCGGCCACAAGGGGACUGAGACACGGCCCUUACUCCUACGGGAGGCAGCAGUGGGGAAUAUUGGACAAUGGACCGAGAGUCUGAUCCAGCAAUUCUGUGUGCACGAUGAAGUUUUUCGGAAUGUAAAGUGCUUUCAGUUGGGAAGAAAGAAAUGACGGUACCAACAGAAGAAGUGACGGCUAAAUACGUGCCAGCAGCCGCGGUAAUACGUAUGUCACGAGCGUUAUCCGGAUUUAUUGGGCGUAAAGCGCGUCUAGGUGGUUAUAUAAGUCUGAUGUGAAAAUGCAGGGCUCAACUCUGUAUUGCGUUGGAAACUGUAUAACUAGAGUACUGGAGAGGUAAGCGGAACUACAAGUGUAGAGGUGAAAUUCGUAGAUAUUUGUAGGAAUGCCGAUGGGGAAGCCAGCUUACUGGACAGAUACUGACGCUGAAGCGCGAAAGCGUGGGUAGCAAACAGGAUUAGAUACCCUGGUAGUCCACGCUGUAAACGAUGAUUACUAGGUGUUGGGGGUCGAACCUCAGCGCCCAAGCAAACGCGAUAAGUAAUCCGCCUGGGGAGUACGUACGCAAGUAUGAAACUCAAAGGAAUUGACGGGGACCCGCACAAGCGGUGGAGCAUGUGGUUUAAUUCG
rnacentral:rRNA from 1 species